rnacentral:rRNA from 1 species
ACCGGAGACGUGAGAGAUCACGUUGUCCCUUGUGGACUGGUAUACAGGUGGCUGCAUGGCUGUCGUCAGCUCGUGCUGUGAAGUGUUGGGUUAAGUCCCGCAACGAGCGCAACCCUUGUCCUUAGUUACCAGCACGUUAUGGUGGGCACUCUAAGGAGACUGCCGGUGACAAACCGGAGGAAGGUGGGGAUGACGUCAAGUCAUCAUGGCCCUUACGGCCUGGGCUACACACGUGCUACAAUGGUCGGUACAAAGGGUUGCCAAGCCGCGAGGUGGAGCUAAUCCCAUAAAACCGAUCGUAGUCCGGAUCGCAGUCUGCAACUCGACUGCGUGAAGUCGGAAUCGCUAGUAAUCGUGAAUCAGAAUGUCACGGUGAAUACGUUCCCGGGCCUU